CUUUUUCAUUACCAUCCUUAAAGUAACGCCACCAACAAUAAAUAUUCCCAACUUCUCUUGCUUGUGGUUGACAUUCUCCUUUCAGUCGAUCGCAGCCAUGGACUUGCCAAAACCACAAUCAAAUGCCCGCUUCACCCUUGGUAAGCAGUCCUCACUGAAGCCGGAGGGUGAGGGCUUGUCACCGGAGGAGGAAGAGGCUAUAAUAGACNNNNNNNNNGGUUAAUGUAUCUUGCGAAUGAGGGAGAAAUGGAAGGGAUUAAGGAGAUCCUGGACUCGGGGACCAAUGUUAAUUUUAGAGAUAUCGACGGACGCACCGCUUUGCACGUCGCUGCUUGCCAGGGCUUCAGCGAUGUUGUUCAGUUAUUGCUCGAUAGAGGAGCCGAGGUUGACACUAAGGAUCGCUGGGGCAGCACUCCUCUUGCAGAUGCUAUAUAUUACAAAAAUCAUGAUGUGAUCAAGCUUUUAGAGGAACAUGGCGCAAAACCCCCGAUAGCUCCCAUGCAUGUCCAAAAUGCUCGUGAAAUUCCAGAAUAUGAGAUUGAUCCUAGAGAGCUUGAUUUUUCUAAUAGUGUUGAUAUAACCAAGGGAACUUUUCGCAUUGCAUCAUGGCGUGGAAUUCAAGUUGCAGUUAAAACACUGGGGGAGGAAGUAUUUACUGAUGAGAAUAANNNNNNNNNNNNUUUUGGGGAUGAGCUUGCAUUGCUUCAGAAGAUUCGUCACCCGAAUGUUGUUCAAUUCCUGGGUGCUGUAACUCAAAGUAGUCCAAUGAUGAUUGUGACGGAAUAUUUACCUAAGGGGGAUCUUUUUGCGUAUUUGAAGGAAAAAGGUGCUUUAAAGCCAAGAGUAGCUGUGAAGUUUGCACUUGAUAUUGCUAGGGGAAUGAACUACUUGCAUGAGCAUAAACCUGAAGCAAUAAUUCACCGAGAUCUUGAGCCUUCAAAUAUACUGCGGGAUGAUUCUGGG
rnacentral:misc_RNA from 1 species